rnacentral:misc_RNA from 1 species
CGCACAUUGCACUCCUUGGUAUUCCGGGGAGUAUGCUUGUCCGAGCGUCAUUUCACCUCUCAAGCUUCUGCUUGGUAUUGGAGAUUAUCGUUGAACAGCGAUAUUUCCGAAAACGAGUGGCAGGUUGUCGAACUUCAGCGCAGUGAAACAUAUUCGUCUUGAAGCUUCUACAGAUCUCGCCAAAAAACCUUUCAAAAUCUUGACCUCGGAUCAAGUAGGGAUACCCGCUGAACUUAA